rnacentral:rRNA from 1 species
UACGUAGGGUGCGAGCGUUGUUCGGAAUUAUUGGGCGUAAAGGGCGCGUAGGCGGCCCUGUGUGUCGGGUGUGAAAGCCCACCUCUUAAAGGUGGAAUUGCAUUCGAAACUACAGGGCUGGAGUGUCGGAGAGGAUGGCGGAAUUCCUGGUGUAGAGGUGAAAUUCGUAGAUAUCAGGAGGAACACCGGUGGCGAAGGCAGCCCCCUGGGCCAACACUGACGCUCAGGCACGAAAGCGUGGGGAGCAAACAGG